rnacentral:lncRNA from 1 species
AUGUCGUGGGUGUUGCAAGGCUGGACACAUAGAGUUGGUUCAUCCACUAGUAGUCCUCAUGGUGCAAUUCAGAUGAUGACAACUUAUCCACUUCCUCACCAGCAGUUCACACAUAAUUACCCACCACUAUCACUACCAGGCCAAUAUUGGUCCACGCCUCAAUUUAUUGCUCCACGUACACCACUCCAGUUGCCUGCACCGCCUAUG